UGCAUUGCAAGUGAUGACAAAAUCAAGGCUUGUUUCUCGACAUUCGCAGUUGCCGCCUAAGAGCUUUCGCCCUGCCAGGCUUGAGAGGUAGUGCUGCCAAAUCCUUCCUUGGAUGUCUGACGCAAUGCA
rnacentral:snoRNA from 7 species